UAAUCGGUAUAAAUGUCGAAAAAUUAAUACCCAUAGACUAGCCCGGUUAACCGACGACGAUGAAGACGCUCUAUAUAUACUUCACUAUCCUAGACACUUUUUUUAUAGAAAUAUUUUGAAAACAUUUUUUUUUCUGCAUCGAACCAGUCUGGCAACUAGUAAAUAUUUUCAGUGCUAUAUGCACAUUUCAACAACUUUAAUUGAGCUAUGUGUACGGAACACGAAUGAGUGACACAUUCUCCAAGAAAUUAUCAUGAUCGUGAUCACGGCCAAGUUGAUUAAAUAGUCCGAUUUUUUUGUUACCAUCAUAACACGCAGAUGUGCAUAUAGAAAUUCCCUUUUAAUGUAAAGAUUUGCAUUUGAAAGUUUUGAAUUUUGUGACAGCUGAACGGGAGCUGGUAUAGUGUGUAAACUCAUUCAAUCGUAAACUAUAAUGGAUACAAAAUGGACCUGAUAGUCGCACCAUUUUUCGAUAAACAAACAGAGUCCAGCACAACUUGGCUGAAAAACUAACCAAAUCAGCUUAAUGAUGAUCUAUCAGCAAGCGUUCAAUGAAACACGGUUACAGAAGCGAUCAAGUGAAAAUGCAAACCGGUGUCACUGGGAUCGACGUCUUACGUUCCUGGUGGUGUUCAUAAUUUUCAUCACAAUCAUCGUGAUAGUUUGUGGCAUUGUUGUGAUGACCAAGCGGAAAUGAGAAAUCUGCUCAUCUGAAAAUUUAUUUACACUCUUCGAUCUACACAAAUUCUACGAUUCUUCUACAGUGGGCGGUUUUUUAAGCGUAUAAUUAAGCUUGAUUCUAUAUUUAAUAACAUUUUGUAUACAUGCGAAACUAAGACAUAUAAUGGGUGCAAAACGCACAAGGUUUUCCUACAUCCUUUUUUCUCGGUUUCUUCUGUAUAUUCAAUUGAGAGACGCCUUAUUUGAUAAGUAUGGAAACCAACGAAGCCCAUAAUGUGUCUUAUUGUCUUAUAUAUUUACUCAAUGGUAUUUCUUUCGUAUUUUAUAUUUAUGUACGAAAUGCCUUCCAAUUAUAAACGAAAUUAUAUAUUCAAUUUAAUGAAACGACAUUAUAUUUAAUGAACAUUCAAGAAAAUUUUAAGUGCUUCUAUCGAAUAUAAAAACAAAAAUUAAUUAAAAUUUGAGAUAUUUACAUUAAAACUGGGCAGUUA